rnacentral:rRNA from 1 species
UACAGAGGGUGCAAGCGUUAAUCGGAAUUACUGGGCGUAAAGGGCGCGUAGGCGGCCGCCUAAGUCAGACGUGAAAUCCCUCGGCUCAACCGGGGAACUGCGUCUGAUACUGGGUGGCUUGAAUACGGGAGAGGGAUGCGGAAUUCCAGGUGUAGCGGUGAAAUGCGUAGAUAUCUGGAGGAACACCGGUGGCGAAGGCGGCACCCUGGACCGAGAUUGACGCUGAGGCGCGAAAGCCAGGGGAGCAAACGGG